GUUCCCUCCUUUUUUGUCCUCUUUCUCAUUCAAGAUCAUGAAGGCUCUUAGGCGAAUGCUUUCUUUCCCUUGAAUCCUUCCCCACCAGAUAUUGUUCCACUUGGGGUAAAUGAUGGCAGUCAUCUAGUUAAUCUCAUUGAUGACCAAUCUUCUUUUGCCUAUGGCUAUUUCUGAUGUUGGUUCUAUUGCUGAACAUUGUUACUCAGAGAAGAGCCAAAGAGGAGGGGGG
rnacentral:lncRNA from 1 species